GUGAAGCGGCAACAGCUCAAAUUUGAAAUCUGAGCCCCCAGGGCUCUGAGUUGUAAUUUGCAGAGGAUGCUUUUGGCGCGGCGCCUUCCGAGUUCCCUGGAACGGGACGCCAUAGAGGGUGAGAGCCCCGUCUGGUCGGACGCCAAGCCAGUGUACAGCUCCUUCGACGAGUCGAGUAGUUUGGGAAUGCUGCUCUAAAUGGGAGGUAUAUGUCU
rnacentral:rRNA from 1 species